CAAUAGCGUAUAUUAAAGUUGUUGCAGUUAAAAAGCUCGUAGUUGGAUUUCUGGUAGGAGUGACCGUUCCGAACUUGAUUGUUCGUGUAUUGUGUUUUCUCCAGCCAUCCUUGUGGAGAACUUUUCUUGCAUUAAUUUGUAGGGAUUGGGACCCGCAUCGUUUACUGUGAAAAAAAUUAGAGUGUUUAAAGCAGGCAAUCGCUUGAAUACAUUAGCAUGGAAUAAUAAGAUAGGACUUUGGUACUAUUUUGUUGGUUUGCAUACCAAAUUAAUGAUCAACAGGAACAGUUUGAGGAUAUUCGUAUGAACAUGUCAGAGGUGAAAUUCUUGGAUUUUGAUCAGACGAACUACUGCGAAAGCAUUUAUCAAGGAUGUUUUCAUUAA
rnacentral:rRNA from 1 species